rnacentral:rRNA from 1 species
UACGAAGGGGGCUAGCGUUGCUCGGAAUCACUGGGCGUAAAGGGUGCGUAGGCGGGUCUUUAAGUCAGGGGUGAAAUCCUGGAGCUCAACUCCAGAACUGCCUUUGAUACUGAAGAUCUUGAGUUCGGGAGAGGUGAGUGGAACUGCGAGUGUAGAGGUGAAAUUCGUAGAUAUUCGGAGGAACACCAGUGGCGAAGGCGGCUCACUGGCCCGAUACUGACGCUGAGGUGCGAAAGCGUGGGGAGCAAACAGG